rnacentral:tRNA from 1 species
GGGGGUGUGGCUCAGUGGUAGAGCGCUUGCUCUAUAUGUGUGAAUCCCUGGGUUCAAUCCUCAGCACCACAU